GGCGGUAAGACAGCCAUUUAGAGGAACCUGCCCUGUAAACGAUGAACCACGAGUAUCUUACUUUUUUUUGAUAUCAGCUUGUAUACCGCUGUUGUUAGUUAGAUUCAUUAGAAAACUUUCGUUUGUUGGUAGAACCAUUGACUUCAAGUAAAGGUGCAGCUAAUAAAAAAGAUAGAGGUGGGUUACAUUUAAAAGAAUAAAACGGAUAAAAUCAUGAAAUUGAUUUUUGAAGGUGGAUUUAAUAGUAAAGUUUAAAAAAACUUGAUGUGAGCUCUGUCUUGUGUACACACCGCCCGUCG
rnacentral:rRNA from 1 species